CAGCGGCGGCGGGCGGAGGAGGCGGCGGGAUGGAGGGGCUCAUCCCGCUCGUUAACCGGCUGCAGGAUGCCUUCGCGGCGCUGGGCCAGAACUGCCUGCUCGACCUGCCGCAGAUCGCGGUGGUAGGCGGGCAGAGCGCCGGCAAGAGCUCCGUGCUGGAGAACUGCGUCUCCAGGGAUUUUCUUCCACGAGGUUCUGGAAUUGUGACAAGACGACCAUUGGUCCUGCAGCUCAUCACUGCCAAAACAGAGUAUGCGGAAUUUCUACACUGCAAAGGGAAGAAAUUUACUGAUUUUGAUGAAGUUCGUCAGGAAAUUGAAGUAGAAACAGAUAGAGUAACAGGAAUGAACAAAGGCAUUUCUUCGGUUCCUAUUAAUUUAAGAAUAUAUUCUCCACAUGUCUUAAGCCUGACCCUUAUCGAUCUGCCGGGAAUCACUAAAGUGCCAGUGGGGGAUCAGCCUCCAGAUAUUGAGCAGCAGAUCAGAGACAUGAUAAUGCAGUUCAUCUCUCGGGAGAAUUGCCUGAUCUUGGCUGUGACUCCAGCUAACACUGACCUGGCCAACUCAGAUGCCCUGAAGCUGGCAAAGGAAGUGGACCCUCAGGGCCUUAGAACCAUUGGUGUGAUCACAAAAUUGGAUCUGAUGGAUGAAGGCACAGAUGCAAGAGAAGUUCUAGAAAACAAACUCCUCCCUCUUCGUAGAGGUUAUAUUGGUGUUGUAAACAGAAGCCAGAAAGACAUUGAUGGGAAGAAGGACAUAAAAGCAGCUCUUCUAGCAGAAAGGAAAUUCUUUCUUUCCCACCCAUCCUACAGGCACAUGGCAGAUCGGAUGGGGACACCAUAUCUCCAGAAAGUUCUAAACCAGCAACUUACCAAUCAUAUUCGGGAUACCCUGCCAGCCUUCAGAAGCAAACUCCAGAGCCAGCUGCUUUCUAUAGAACAUGAAGUAGAGGUAUACAAAAACUUCAGACCAGAAGAUCCCACCAGAAAAACAAAAGCCCUGUUGCAGAUGGUACAGCAGUUUUCAGUGGACUUUGAAAAAAGAAUUGAAGGAUCAGGAGAUCAAGUUGAUACGCUGGAGCUUUCAGGAGGUGCCAAAAUCAAUCGUAUUUUCCAUGAACGUUUUCCCUUUGAACUCGUGAAGAUGGAAUUCAACGAGAAGGAACUGAGGAGAGAGAUAAGUUAUGCCAUCAAGAACAUACAUGGGAUCAGAACAGGUUUGUUCACUCCAGAUAUGGCGUUUGAAGCCAUUGUUAAAAAACAGAUAGUUAAGCUGAAAGGACCUUGCUUAAAAAGUGUGGAUCUGGUGAUGCAAGAGUUAAUCAACACUGUCAAGAAAUGCACUAAAAAGUUGGCAACAUAUCCAAGGUUAUGUGAGGAAACAGAAAGAAUUGUUGCUGGCUACAUUCGUGAAAGAGAAGAGAAGACCAAGGAUCAGAUGCUGCUGCUCAUUGAUAUCCAGGUUUCCUAUAUCAAUACCAACCAUGAAGACUUCAUUGGCUUUGCAAAUGCCCAACAAAGAAGCAGUCAGGUUAACAAAAGUGCAGUGGGAAAUCAGGGAACCAAUCUACCGCCUUCAAGGCAAAUUGUCAUCCGGAAAGGCUGGCUCACCAUCAACAACAUUGGCAUCAUGAAAGGAGGAUCCAAGGAAUACUGGUUCGUCCUGACUGCAGAGAGCUUGUCCUGGUAUAAAGAUGAUGAGGAAAAAGAGAAGAAGUACAUGCUGCCUUUGGACAACUUGAAAGUGCGAGAUGUUGAGAAGAGCUUCAUGUCCAGCAAACACAUCUUUGCAUUGUUUAACACAGAGCAGAGGAAUGUUUACAAGGAUUACCGUUUCCUUGAGCUAGCCUGUGACUCCCAAGAGGAGGUGGAUAGCUGGAAGGCAUCUCUGCUACGAGCCGGUGUCUAUCCUGAUAAAUCCUCAACUGAAACUGAAGAGAAUGGCCAAGCAGAUAAUUUUUCAAUGGAUCCCCAGCUGGAAAGACAAGUGGAGACAAUUCGAAAUCUUGUGGACUCCUACAUGUCUAUUAUUAACAAAUGUAUCCGAGAUCUGAUCCCAAAAACAAUCAUGCACCUCAUGAUCAAUAAUGUAAAAGAAUUUAUCAACGCAGAGCUGCUGGCUCACCUGUAUUCUUCUGAGGACCAGAACACUCUGAUGGAGGAGUCGGCGGAGCAGGCGCAGCGGCGGGACGAGACCCUGCGCAUGUACCAGGCGCUGCAGGAGGCGCUGGCCAUCAUCGGGGACAUCAGCACCAGCACCGUGUCCACCCCUGCUCCCCCGCCUGUGGACGACUCCUGGCUCCAGCAGGCACGCAGAUCACCUCCUCCAAGUCCUUCAACUCCAAGGAGACCUACACUGAACAAUCCCCCAACCAGACCUUUAUCUGGCCGAGGACCCGCUCCUGCCAUCCCCUCUCCAGGCCCUCAGUCGGGGGCUCCCCCAGUCCCGUUCCGCCCAGGACCUCUGCCUCCAUUUCCCAGUGCUGAAGCCCAUGGAGGACCUCCCCAGGUUCCCUCUCGGCCCAGCCGGGCUCCUCCCAGCGUGCCAAGGUGGAAUGGAGCAUCAACAAAAGACUCCUUGUAACUAAGCUGAUGGAAUUACCUCCACACAGCCCUGAGGUGGACCUUCCUGCACACAAAAAGUCGAAGACCGCCCCCUUCACCUACUCGGCCCACUGUAAUCCGUCCGUUAGACUCCUCCCUGUUAGACUAAAAGGAGUUUCUGGCAUGUCACUCGUUGUUAACCAAAUAUGUGGAAACAAAUUGCUUGGUAACUGUCACAAUAACCAGUGUAUAGUCGCAUGUAUGGACAUCUCUAGGCAAGUAACCAAUUUUACUGAUAUUCUCUGUCCAUUCUACAUUGUUCAUGAGGUCUUCAGUGUUUGGGGAAGGUCUGUGCUGCCUUGACUUUUCCUUCUGCAAUAACUGAUGUUAGCUAACUUACUGACAUAUCUCCACAACUGUGCUCACAGUCCUCUACAGCAAGUGGAGGGCUUGACUCUGUGUGUCUUUGUGCAUGUGUUGAUUUGAUCUACUGCUUUUUUUCCCCUCUUACCUGAAAGGAAUCUUGCUUUUAUUUGUACCUUCCAGGUUUUCUGUUUUCUCUUGUAAUGGCUAAACUGGGCAAAGAAAGUCAUGUGGUUUCUUACCAAGCUCUUCUGAAGGCCCCACACUUCCAGGUCUCUCUUGCAAGAGGCUUGCUUCUCCUAUCAAUUGUCCUUAUCUGAAAUUUAGUUUUAAGGAAUGUUGUUAAAUGAGCAGGGGGUGUGUGGGACAAGGCAUGUUUUGCUUUAUUUCCAUCCUGGCAGCUGCCAUGCCAGGUUGGUUGGGUUGGUGAGGAGCAGCCUGGGGUGCCCCAGCUCCCAGGGCUCAGCAUGGAGUCAGGAUGGGACAGGGUGGUUUGGGGUGUGACAGAGCAGCGUGUGGCAGCUCCCUCCGUCCCUGCUCACACUCCUGCACCCACUGCGCUCCUGGGAAGCGCUCAGGGGAGUGACUGCAUGGAAAUGUGCUGAGUGCAGGAUCCAGGGAACUGAGCACUGCUUUUGGUCCCUUUGUGACCCAGAAGGACACGGAGACACAGACACAUGCACAGCUGGGCGUGGUCCCCCUCCCGUGCCCACCGUGGGAGCUCCAGCCUGGACUGGCAGCUGAGCUUCCCGAGGGCCGGGUUCGGAUGUGAGAUAUUCGUGGUAUUUUCACAUGCCAGUCAAUAAAGUUUCCCUGUGCCCCUUGUGUAAAGAUUUUCUUUUUGCAUUACAUGGUUCUUGCACACACCUUGGUAUACUGUUACUUUAUCCAGCUGAGUUCUGGGAAGUGUUCAGCUGUGCAUUCUGGAUUAUUUUAGCAGCUGCUCACUUGCAGAGCAAGUGCUCUCUGCCUCUGUUUUGCACGUUAUAAAUUAAUGCAUUAUAAAAACCUUUUGUCUUAACUGCAUUACUUCACUUUAAACACUUAGGGUCAGUGUCACCCUUAAAGCUUAGAACUUAGUUAAGAGAAUGAAACUAGAGAGGAAUUUGGCCUUGUUACUUCAGAAAAUAUGAAUUGCUGCUAUUACAGUUAUAGUUACAGAUCCCUAGGCAAAGCAAUUGGUGGUUUCAAAGGCCCCCAGUACAAUCAGUCUAAUAAAUGUAUUUAUUGAGACUGCUUGUAGGGCUCCAGUAUGCUGUAGCCCCAUGGUUAGGAAGAAUCCAAUCAAAGAGCCACAACAAAUGGGGAUUUAGCCUGUUAAUUCCCAGGCUGCUGAUUAGGUGUGCUCACCAGUGCAACAAAUCAUGUUUCAGCCUGCAGAAGAGAGACGAGCUUGGGAAAGCAUCAUGAUUUGUGUGUUAGCUUAACUGUAAUUUCCUGUCAACCCCAUACUUGUGACACACACCUGGGGAGUCUGGAGGUCACAUGUGAUGCACGGUGAAGAUGGAGUUUGUCAGAGCACUGGCAUCCUGGUGAUCUCAGCAGACUGCUGGUGUUUGUUUGGGGAACAGGUCCACAUCUCCAAUGCCAAGUGCACAGAAUCAAGGAAAAGAAAAGGUUGAAAACACAGCCACAGUCAUACUAAUUUUUACUACAAAAAAAGAAAACAUAUUUUGAUGAUUCUUCUUGUCUUCUACACAGCUUUCCACUGCUUAGUGCUCUCUGCUGUAACCUGUGCUGCAUCUGUUGGAUAUAUUUUUGUAAAUAGCCACAGUAGCCCAUAUUGUUGCCUUGCCAGCACUCCUCUAUAUCCAAAGAGUUUAUCAGAACUCUGUUACUGACUGGCAGCUGCCAGGUUUAAUGCCUGAGUCACAGAGAUCACUGAUAUCACUUCUGAUACCAGAAUAUCAAAUUCUGAUACUUGGUGAUCCUCCUACCAGGAUGGAUGGGUCUUUCAGCAGCCUGGUCUAGUGGAAGGUGUCCCUGCUCGUGACAGGGGGCUUGGAACAAGAUGAGCUCCAAGGUCCCUUCCAACCCAACCCAUUCUAGGAUACUGCAAGGCCACGGUCUGGGUUUAUCCCACCAUGCCCCAAGGAUUCAGCUUAGUUGUUCUUUGUUCAGUGGCUCUUUGUUCAGAGCAUCACCUCCAGGAGGUGAUUCAGGCCACUGUGGCUGCAUGGGACACGAGGGCAAUGCUGGAAAGUCAGGAGCCUCAAUUACAUGGCCCAGCUCCUGGCCUAAAAAAGUGCUUUGAAAUGCUCUCUACUUGAGACUCCCUAAUUUACUUUAAUGACUGUUUCUCCCAAGCAUAAGGAAGUAGGUGGCACAACUGAGCACUGUCCUUUACUCUGCCCCAAGAAACUAUUUCUCAGCAGUAAUCCUGAAUUGUAAAUAAAGCUCUCAGGGGCGGAUUUACCCAAAAGAGGAGGAGGAGGCAGUGAGGCAUCAGCACCAUCUGGUUCUGUGCUUGAUGCUGAGGGUGCAGGACACAGCUUCACAGCCCUCCUUCCUCUGCAUCCUCAUUCAGAUCUCAUCUAAAUCUGGCCCUGUGCCCUAAAUGCAACACUUUUAGGUGUGCAGGUUAAUAAAUAACUGUGAGCACGAAUCCAGGGUUUGAUGAUUUCACCUAUUCUUGCGUAUGCGCUUGUGAGAAUAAACCACGUAGACUUGUUUCUAGGAAAAACACUUGAAUGCUUUCCCAAGAAAUUGCCACAUCCAAGUGAGUAAGUACUGUCCUCCAGCCUUGGCCCACUUCCUUCUGCUGUAGAGUGCCUGGAAUGGGUUUGUUUGUUUGUCCCACUUACUCCUGAUGCUGGCGAGUCCCAUCCAUCCUGUCCCUUGUUCUUGGAGGAGCAGCCUCGGCAGCAACUCACCCCAUGCCCAGAGGAAAGCAGGACAAGCACCCUGUGGAUGUGCCAGAGGGACUGAGCACCUCUGCAGAGCCACUUAGGUGGGAUGAGCUAGGUCUGAGCUCCAUGUCUGAGAAGCGCAGCUCGCUCUGCCUUUCCCUGCUUCCCUCUGGCACAGCUCUGGUUGCCAGGGCAUAGUGGAGCAAUGAUGAAGCAACACCGGAGUGUCUGAUCUUACCUGAGGUGCACAAAGAUCUGCGUGGUGUAGUUGCUAAGUUUCAGGAGUUGGUGUAGUUGCUAAGUUUCAGGAGGAUGCUCAUCUAAUACUGCAUUUAGGCUGAGCCUGGAUCUGUGCCCAGAGAACAUUUCCACCUCACCCUGCUGUGGCUGACCAACAGUUGAAGAGCUUGUGCCACGAACAGCUCUCGGCCUGGGAUCUCAAGGGAUCUUGUGCUAGGGUUAAAAAGAUUGUAUGUUCAACAGAAAGGCUUAUGUACAUAGUUAAUGUGUGUUUAUUUUAUUGCUGAUCUUGUUGCACUUUCUGAGUAAGCCUCCUAAAAGUAGAUUAUUUAUUAUAUUAAAGAAGAUACAUUAUAGGUUAUGGCAUUUCGUGUUCAAGUAUAACAUAGAAAAUAUGAUCCUCUCUGUUCCAGACACCUCCACUAACCAUGAUGUGUACAGCAUAUUGAGAUUCCUGACUAGUUCUGUCCUUCUGUCUUAAAAUAGUCCAAACCUCCUGAAUUGAGAGCAGACCUGCUUUGUCCCUGUGCCACCAGGGAGCCUCCUGGUGCCCUCCUGGCACAGCUCCUCCUGCUGAGGCACUGCCCCUGCUCCCAGGCUGGUGCAGAACAGCUCCCUUGUGUAAAUGAAUGUUACUCUGCCUGUCUUUCCUCUUGCUUUGUCUGCAGGCGAGCUGAUGCCGACGGCUCCUCCCGUCCAGACAGCCCUCCACUCUUGCUUGAUCUAUGAUUUGUCCCGCCUUGCCGGCCGUUUGCUUUACUGCUGUCUCUUUACUUUUCCAGGACAGGCUAAACCAUGACUUCUUUUUUGUAAGAAGCAAACGCUUAAUUUCUUUCUGAUUUUUUGUUUUGUUUUGUUUUUUUUUUUGCUCUGUAUGUUAACGCCCUACUUCAUGUGAGCCAAAACAUCUGCCUUUGGUUUUGUAAUCUGAGCACAGCGAGUGGAUUCCCAAAACCGUGGUCAUCGCUGAGCAUCACAUACACCUGCUGUAAAAAUGUUAUGCUGCAUUUCUGGACCUGAAAUAAACUGUCAUUCUUGA